rnacentral:tRNA from 1 species
GCGAGUGUGGUGAAGUGGUUAACACAUCGGUUUGUGGUACCGACAUUCGCGGGUUCGAUUCCCGUCACUCGCCCCA